rnacentral:sRNA from 1 species
GCUGGGCUCCGUGGUGGACGCCUGUAAUCCCAGAAGCUUGGGAGGCUGAGGCAGGAGGACUGCAAAUUCAAUGCCAGUCUCAGCAAAAGCAAGGCACUAGGCAAUUCAGCGAGACCCUGUUUCUA